UUGGCGUUAGAGACAAAGACAAGGUUUUGCUGUUAGAAGAUCCGGCUAACAAAGAACGAAAACUCAGAGUCAUCCGCGAUCACCUCAUUGCAUCAUUAGUGUCUAGUCAACACUAAUUAAUCAAAGACCGUAGGGAGUUUCCGUUCUUACAUUAACUGACUACGAAAAUUUUAACUACUUAUUUCACAAGAUGUCGAAUUGAACAAAACUAAAUUGUACUAUUUAGUUUUGUUUAAAUGUGUGCAUUACGACCUUCCGAUGAUCAACUUGACUUGCUAGGGAAUUUCUCUCUCUCUCUCUCUCUCUUUAAUGUUUGGUACUAAACCCUUGACCGGUAGGGCAUAUAUAAAAAAUGUAAGCUGAUGCUGUCCAAGUCAUUUUGAUUGGAUUGUUAUGUUUAUAAAUUGUUGAUUCCAUCUUCUUUUCAUUAAAAAUAUA
rnacentral:lncRNA from 1 species